UACGUAGGGACCAAGCGUUGUUCGGAUUUACUGGGCGUAAAGGGCGCGUAGGCGGCUUAACAAGUCACUUGUGAAAUCUCCGGGCUUAACUCGGAACGGCCAAGUGAAACUGUCAAGCUAGAGUGCAGAAGGGGCAAUCGGAAUUCUUGGUGUAGCGGUGAAAUGCGUAGAUAUCAAGAGGAACACCUGAGGCGAAGGCGAGUCCCUGGACAACUUCUGACGCUGAGGCACGAAAGCUAGGGGGAGCAAAACAGG
rnacentral:rRNA from 1 species